CGCGGGGUGGAGCAGCUCGGUAGCUCGUCAGGCUCAUAACCUGAAGGUCGUAGGUUCAAAUCCUGCCCCCGCAACCA
rnacentral:tRNA from 1 species